UGGAAAAUUACCUGUCGAGAGUGCUGGCCAGCUCAUAUAAAAGGUGGAGUUUUGCAAGGCUGUUUCAGUGGGCUUGUUUCCAUCGUUAAACGCAUAGCGCUGCUCUGUUCGCAGAAAAGGUCAAGAUGGUGAAAUCUCGGGGAGCUUUCAUUGCGCUUUCUCUUCUCGUUGUCCUCUUGGUCUUCACCGCGCCUGCAGUUGGAACUUUAGGUGCGCUCACGGCUGCCAUCAAUCAAAUCCAAGAGCAACAAGGGCGCCUCGAUGUUGAGCCGACAGCCGACGCGUGAAAGGCACAAAACUGACAACCCAAGUUCAUGGCGUUUUGUAAACCUACGUACAUAAUAGAUGAAAAGACUAAUAAAGUGUGCCUUGAAACCCACAGUCCCUGAAGCUAAUGCUUUUCUUCCAGAUAUGCAUACAGAAUCAUUC